AACGAACGCUGGCGGCGCGCCUAACACAUGCAAGUCGAGCGAUUAAAGCCCUUUCGGGGGUGUAUAAAGCGGCGGACGGGUGAGUAAGGCAUAGGUAACCUGCCCUAAAAUGGGGGAUAGCCUGGAGAAAUUCGGGUUAAUACCGCAUAAGCUAUCCGAGUGAAUAUCGGUUAGUAAAGGCUUCGGUCGUUUUAGGAUGGGCCUAUGUAUGAUUAGCUAGUUGGUGAGGUAACGGCUCACCAAAGCUUCGAUCAUUAGCUGGUCUGAGAGGAUGAUCAGUCACACUGGAACUGAGACACGGUCCAGACUCCUACGGGAGGCAGCAGUGAGGAAUUUUGCGCAAUGGGGGAAACCCUGACGCAGCGACGCCGCGUGGAGGACGAAGUCUUUCGAGAUGUAAACUCCUGUCAGUGGGGAUGAUAAUGACAGUACCCACAGAGGAAGCACCGGCUAACUCCG
rnacentral:rRNA from 1 species